GCACGGGUGGCAGAGUCCGGUUGAAUGCGCCAGCCUGUAGAGCUGGAGUUCUCUUGUAGAGCCGACGGAGGUUCAAAUCCUUCCCCGUGCAUCA
rnacentral:tRNA from 1 species